CCUGAUGCUGUUUUCCGGGCACAGAUUCCUGUGCCUCCUUUCAACAUUCGUUUCCUUCCAUCCCAAGUGGGCUGUCAAAAUUUUAGUUCAUUCUGGUGCCUAUUCGGCAUGUUAUCCCAGUUAGCCUUCCGCGGGCGGCACCAAGUUAGCCAGUAACCAGAAGAAAACUUUGAGGAACAGUGCCAAAACUUGAAUUUGUGGGGAAUGAGCCAGAGAGAGGAAGUAGUGGGUAAAUAGUAACUUGGGCACCGCGGCCCACCAUCUGGACCAUUGUUGAGGA
rnacentral:sRNA from 1 species